UACAGAGGGGGCAAGCGUUGUUCGGAAUUACCGGGCGUAAAGGGCGCGUAGGCGGCCUUCUAAGUCGAACGUGAAAUCCCCGGGCUCAACCCGGGAACUGCGUCCGAGACUGAAAGGCUUGAAUCCGGGAGAGGGAUGUGGAAUUCCAGGUGUAGCGGUGAAAUGCGUAGAUAUCUGGAGGAACAUCGGUGGCGAAGGCGGCAUCCUGGACCGGUAUUGACGCUGAGGCGCGAAAGCCAGGGGAGCAAACGGG
rnacentral:rRNA from 1 species